GAUGAACGCUGGCGGCGUGCCUAAUACAUGCAAGUCGAGCGAAUGGAUUGAGAGCUUGCUCUUAUGAAGUUAGCGGCGGACGGGUGAGUAACACGUGGGUAACCUGCCCAUAAGACUGGGGUAACUCCGGGAAACCGGGGCUAAUACCGGAUAACAUUUUGAACCGCAUGGUUCGAAAUUGAAAGGCGGCUUCGGCUGUCACUUAUGGAUGGACCCGCGUCGCAUUAGCUAGUUGGUGAGGUAACGGCUCACCAAGGCAACGAUGCGUAGCCGACCUGAGAGGGUGAUCGGCCACACUGGGACUGAGACACGGCCCAGACUCCUGCGGGAGGCAGCAGUAGGGAAUCUUCCGCAAUGGACGAAAGUCUGACGGAGCAACGCCGCGUGAGUGAUGAAGGCUUUCGGGUCGUAAAACUCUGUUGUUAGGGAAGAACAAGUGCUAGUUGAAUAAGCUGGCACCUUGACGGUACCUAACCAGAAAGCCACGGCUAACUACGUGCCAGCCGCCGCGGUAA
rnacentral:rRNA from 1 species